CCCUACGGGGGGCAGCAGUGAGGAAUAUUGGUCAAUGGGCUUACGCCUGAACCAGCCAAGUCGCGUGAGGGAAGACUGCCCUAUGGGUUGUAAACCUCUUUUGUCAGGGAGCAAUUGGCGCUACGUGUAGCGUUAUCGAGAGUACCUGAAGAAAAAGCAUCGGCUAACUCCGUGCCAGCAGCCGCGGUAAUACGGAGGAUGCGAGCGUUAUCCGGAUUUAUUGGGUUUAAAGGGUGCGUAGGCGGAAUGCCAAGUCAGCGGUCAAAUCGUGGGGCUCAACCCCAUCCAGCCGUUGAAACUGGGGA
rnacentral:rRNA from 1 species